UCAUUAACAACCCUCAAGCCUGGCUUGCUGUUGGAUCACAUCGUCAAUAAGAUGGAUCCUAAAGGUAAUGACAGAGUCUGAGUUAGACCCUAGAUGCAAUGAGCUUUUAUUAGCACGCAUUCAAGGGACUGACCGACCUGGUCUUGACUAUUUAUUCUAAUGUUGACCUCGGAUCAGGUAGGAAUACCCGCUGAACUUAA
rnacentral:misc_RNA from 1 species